rnacentral:rRNA from 1 species
CGUAGGGUGCAAGCGUUAAUCGGAAUUACUGGGCGUAAAGCGUGCGCUGGCGGUGAUGUAAGACAGUUGUGAAAUCCCCGGGCUCAACCUGGGAACUGCAUCUGUGACUGCAUCGCUGGAGUGCGGCAGAGGGGGAUGGAAUUCCGCGUGUAGCAGUGAAAUGCGUAGAUAUGCGGAGGAACACCGAUGGCGAAGGCAAUCCCCUGGGCCUGCACUGACGCUCAUGCACGAAAGCGUGGGGAGCAAACAGGAUUAGAUACCCUGGUAGUCCACGCCCUAAACGAUGUCAACUGGUUGUUGGGUCUUCACUGACUCAGUAACGAAGCUAACGCGUGAAGUUGACCGCCUGGGGAGUACGGCCGCAAGGUUG